GAGACACAGAAACAGGUAACGAGACACAGAAACAGGUACGGGCCACAGAAACAGGUACGAGCCACAGAAACAGGUACGAGCCACAGAAACAGGUAUGAGACAAAGAAACAGGUAACGAGCCACAGAAACAGGUAAUGAGACACAGAGAGGCACACAAACAGGUACGGGCCACAGAAACAAACAGGUACG